UACGUAGGGUGCAGGCGUUAAUCGGAAUUAUUGGGCGUAAAGAGCUCGUAGGCGGCUUGUCACGUCGAUUGUGAAAGCCCGAGGCUUAACCUCGGGUCUGCAGUCGAUACGGGCUAGCUAGAGUGUGGUAGGGGAGAUCGGAAUUCCUGGUGUAGCGGUGAAAUGCGCAGAUAUCAGGAGGAACACCGGUGGCGAAGGCGGAUCUCUGGGCCAUUACUGACGCUGAGGAGCGAAAGCGUGGGGAGCGAACAGG
rnacentral:rRNA from 1 species